UACGAAGGGGGCUAGCGUUGUUCGGAAUUACUGGGCGUAAAGCGUGCGCAGGCGGCUAUCCAAGUCAGUGGUGAAAGCCCGGAAGCUCAACUCCGGAACUGCCAUUGAAACUGUUUAGCUCGAGUACGAGAGAGGUGAGUGGAAUUCCCAGUGUAGAGGUGAAAUUCGUAGAUAUUGGGAAGAACACCGGUGGCGAAGGCGGCUCACUGGCUCGUAACUGACGCUCAUGCACGACAGCGUGGGGAUCAAACAGG
rnacentral:rRNA from 1 species